GCAGUGGAGAUUCAAUAGUAGAAUUUUCACCUUCUACACGAGAGACCUGGGUUCGAUUCCCAGCCAUGUA
rnacentral:tRNA from 1 species